rnacentral:misc_RNA from 1 species
CACAAUAAAAUAUGAAGGCUGUACGCGGCUGUGCUCUCGGGCCAGUUUUGCGGAGGCUGAAUUAUUUAUUACCCUUGUCCUUUGCGCACUUGUUGUUUCCUGGGCGGGUUCGCCCGCCACCAGGACCACAUCAUAAACCUUUUUUAUGCAGUUGCAAUCAGCGUCAGUAUAACAAAUGUAAAUCAUUUA